rnacentral:rRNA from 1 species
UACGAAGGGGGCUAGCGUUGUUCGGAAUCACUGGGCGUAAAGGGCGCGUAGGCGGCCGAUUAAGUCGGGGGUGAAAGCCUGUGGCUCAACCACAGAGUUGCCUUCGAUACUGAUUGGCUUGAGACCGGAAGAGGUAAGUGGAACUGCGAGUGUAGAGGUGAAAUUCGUAGAUAUUCGCAAGAACACCAGUGGCGAAGGCGGCUCACUGGCCCGGUACUGACGCUGAGGUGCGAAAGCGUGGGGAGCAAACAGG